CCAUGCCGCGUGUGUGAAGAAGGUCUUCGGAUUGUAAAGCACUUUAAGUUGGGAGGAAGGGCAGUAAGUUAAUACCUUGCUGUUUUGACGUUACCGACAGAAUAAGCACCGGCUAACUCUGUGCCAGCAGCCGCGGUAAU
rnacentral:rRNA from 1 species